CCCUUAGAUGUUCUGGGCCGCACGCGCGCUACACUGAUGCAUUCAACGAGCACCCGCUGGGCCGAGAGGUCCGGCUAAUCUUUGAACGUGCAUCGUGCUGGGGAUAGAUGAUUGCAAUUAUUCAUCUUCAACGAGGAAUUCCUAGUAAACGCAAGUCAUCAGCUUGCAUUGAUUACGUCCCUGCCCUUGUACACACCGCCCGUCGCACCUACCGAUUGAAUGGUCCGGUGAAAUUCUCGGACGCGGACUUGCGAUGUUAAUUCGGAGCUUGACUGUGAAAGUUAAUUAAACCAUAUCAUUUAGAGGAAGGUGAAGUCGUAACA
rnacentral:rRNA from 1 species